rnacentral:rRNA from 1 species
AUUGAACGCUGGCGGCAGGCUUAACACAUGCAAGUCGAACGAGUGGCGGACGGGUGAGUAAUGCUUGGGAAUCUGGCUUAUGGAGGGGGAUAACGACGGGAAACUGUCGCUAAUACCGCGUACCAUAGGAUGAGCCCAAGUGGGAUUAGGUAGUUGGUGGGGUAAUGGCCUACCAAGCCGACGAUCCGUAACUGGUCUGAGAGGAUGAUCAGUCACACUGGAACUGGGACACGGUCCAGACUCCUACGGGAGGCAGCAGUGGGGAAUCUUCCGCAAUGGACGAAAGUUGACGGAGCAACGCCGCGUGAGUGAUGACGGCCUUCGGGUUGUAAAGCUCUGUUAAUCGGGAGACGGUACCUGAAGAAUAAGCACCGGCUAACUACGUGCCAGCAGCCGCGGUAAUUC